rnacentral:rRNA from 1 species
GUCGCUACUACCGAUUGAGUGUUUUAGUGAGGUCCUCGGAUUGCUUUCCUGGCGGUUAACGCUGCCUAGUUGGCGAAAAGACGACCAAACUGUAGCACUUAGAGGAAGUAA